CAGUCGCCGCGGGAAUACGUAGGGUGCAAGCGUUAAUCGGAAUUACUGGGCGUAAAGCGUGCGCAGGCGGUUUCGUAAGACAGAGGUGAAAUCCCCGGGCUCAACCUGGGAACUGCCUUUGUGACUGCAAGGCUGGAGUGCGGCAGAGGGGGAUGGAAUUCCGCGUGUGGCAGUGAAAUGCGUAGAUAUGCGGAGGAACACCGAUGGCGAAGGCAGUCCCCUGGGCCUGCACUGACGCUCAUGCACGAAAGCGUGGGGAGCAAACAGGAUUAGAUACCCGAGUAGUCCCUGUCUCUUAUAC
rnacentral:rRNA from 1 species